UCGUUAACCUCUAUGUUUCCAACCAUAGUCCUGAAGUACACCUGUUUAGUGGGUUUUUUUUCAUGCUCAUAUUUCACCUGAUUGGCUAAUUAUCAGGCCUCUGAGUUGAUCAGAGCAGGGAAACCGUUCAAAUGUAUAGGACAGGGGGUAUUCUAGGAUCAGGGAUAUGAGCCUGUGUGCUAAUUUGCAGCAGUAAUUUAAAAACUUCAUCAUCAUAAUGUUGUUGGACAUGAAUUAAACAUCUAGGUGGCGCUGUUGUGGAGAUGAACUGGAUUCUGUAGCAGCAGGUGAUGCCAAUAUUCAAUGAAAGGCUACAUAUUUUACUAACUUUCGCAUACCAGGACUAAUAAGUAGAGUAAUUAAAGCUAAUUACUUUAUACGUGCAAAUAGUAAGAGUGGCAAACUGUAAAACAGAUUUUUUAUAAUUUGUAUGGUUUUUCUUACUGAAAAUUUUACUGUCGGAAGAGUUUGGAUUGAGACUGUCCUUUUAGAUACUCGCGAUAGUAUGUUAGGGUUUUGGGGGUUUUUUUUUUUCUUGGGGGGAGACAUAAGUUUCCUUUGAUGCAUUCUGGUGGUAAAUGCUGCAAGUCCAGAAUAAAUGAAAUGAAGAUCUGGGCUUACAGACAAAUCUGCACCUGCAGGCAUGAUUGUAAUUUACCAUACUCUUUUCAAGGACAUGGGCCCAACUGAUCCCCAUGUUGAGACUGCUGAGGAUGCACCCACUUCAAAGAAAAAGACCACCUUGGGGAGCUUCAAGACCACUGAGGGAACCACACUAAGACCCCCACCACAAAAAAAGCUAUAUCCUGAGUUACAGUCUUAUCUACAAUUGGACAACAUUGACAGUGAAGAGGACCCGCUGGACUGGUGGAGGGAACACCAGAGACUCUAUCCACGACUCUCAAAACUAGCAAAAAAGUACUUGUGCAUUCCAGCCACAAGCACUGGGGGAAAUGUAGUGACCUACCCUUGCUCGUCUCUCAAGCCAGAAAAUGUGGACAGGCUCCAUUCUUGCCAAAAACCUGUAAACACCACGUUAUGGGGCAGUGGUGGCUCGAUGGUUAAGGCUCUGGGUUACUGAACAGAAGGUCAGGGGUCCAAGCCCCAGCACUGCCAAGCUGCCACUGUUGGGGGCCCUUGAGCAAGGCCCUUAACCCUCUCUGCUCCAGGGGUGCAGUAUCAUGGCUGACACUGCACUCUGACCCUAACAUUGUUUGAAUUUCACUGUGCUGUAAUUUAUGUGACUAAUAAAGACUAAAGAUAUUUCUUUCUGCAUACACCU
ensembl:lncRNA